rnacentral:rRNA from 1 species
CGGAACACGUACAGAACCUUCCUUUAAGCGGGGGAUAGCCCAUAGAAAUGUGGAUUAAUACCCCAUAGUAAUACUAGCUGGCAUCAGAUGGUAUUUAAAGAUUUAUCACUUAAAGAUGGCUGUGCGGCUGAUUAGGUAGUUGGUGCGGGUAACGGCCCACCAAGCCAACGAUCAGUAACUGGUGUGAGAGCACGACCAGUCACACGGGCACUGAGACACGGGCCCG